GAUGAACGCUGGCGGCGUGCCUAAUACAUGCAAGUCGAGCGCUCAAGCGUGGUACUUGUACCUACUGCGUUAGCAGCGAACGGGUGAGUAACGCGUGGGUAAUCUGCCUUUGAGCGGGGGAUAACUUUUGGAAACGAAUGCUAAUACCGCAUAAAAUCUUUAAACACAAGGUUUAAGUUUGAAAGAUGCUAUUGCUUCACCCAAUGAUUAUCUCGCGUUGUAUUAGCUAGUUGGUGAGGUAAAGGCUCACCAAGGCGAUGAUACAUAGCCGACCUGGAAGGGUGGUCGGCCAAAUUGGGACUGAGACACGGCCCAAAAUCCUAAGGGAAGCAGCAGUAGGGAAACCUCGGCAAUGGACGAAAGUCUGAACGAGCCACGCCGCGUGGGUGAAGAAGGUUUUCGGAUCGUUAAAAUCUGUUGAUAGGGGAGAAAGUUGGUGGGAGUGGAAAACUCACCAAGUGACGGUAACUAAUCAGAAAGAGACGGCUAACUACGUG
rnacentral:rRNA from 1 species